UACGUAGGGAGCAAGCGUUGUUCGGAAUUACUGGGCGUAAAGAGUUCGUAGGCGGUGCGGCAAGUUCGGUGUGAAAUCUCCCGGCUCAACUGGGAGGGUGCGCUAAAUACUGCCGUGCUCGAGUAUAGGAGAGGUAAGCGGAAUUCCUGGUGUAGCGGUGAAAUGCGUAGAUAUCAGGAGGAACACCUGUGGUGUAGACGGCUUACUGGACUAUAACUGACGCUGAGGAACGAAAGCGUGGGUAGCAAACAGG
rnacentral:rRNA from 1 species